rnacentral:rRNA from 1 species
AGCGAACGCUGGCGGCAGGCUUAACACAUGCAAGUCGAACGAACCUUUCGGGGUUAGUGGCGGAGGGGUGAGUAACACGUGGGAACGUGCCUUUAGGUUCGGAAUCACUCAGGGAAACUUGUGCUAAUACCGAAUGUGCCCUUCGGGGGGAAGAUUUAUGGCUUUUAGAGCGGCCGGCGUCUGAUUAGCUCGUUGGUUGAGGUAAUGGCUCACCAAGGCGACGAUCAGUAGCUGGUCUGAGAGGAUGAUCAGCCACAUUGGGACUGAGACACGGCGCAAACUCCUACGGGAGGCAGCAGUGGGGAAUCUUGCGCAAUGGGCGAGAGCCUGACGCAGCCAUGCCGCGUGAAUGAUGAAGGUCUUAGGAUUGUAAAAUUCUUUCACCGGUGACGAUAAUGACGGUACCCGGAGAAGAAGCCCCGGCUAACUUCGUG